UGGGGAAUAUUGGACAAUGGGGGCAACCCUGAUCCAGCAAUGCCGCGUGAGUGAAGAAGGCCUUCGGGUUGUAAAGCUCUUUUAUCCGUGACGAUAAUGACGGUAGCGGAUGAAUAAGCACCGGCUAACUUCGUGCCAGCAGCCGCGGUAAUACGAAGGGUGCAAGCGUUGUUCGGAAUGACUGGGCGUAAAGGGCGUGUAGGCGGCUUUGUGCGUCAGAUGUGAAAGUCCUGGGCUUAACCUAGGGACUGCAUUUGAUACGGCAAAGCUAGAGGUAAUGAGGGGAGAAUGGAAUUGCGCAUGUAGAAGUGAAAUUCGUAGAGAUGCGCAGGAACACCAGUGGCGAAGGCGAUUCUCUGGCACUUACCUGACGCUAAGGCGCGAAAGCGUGGGGAGCAAACAGG
rnacentral:rRNA from 1 species